rnacentral:rRNA from 1 species
GAAGCACCGGCUAACUCCGUGCCAGCAGCCGCGGUAAUACGGAGGGUGCGAGCGUUAAUCGGAAUUACUGGGCGUAAAGCGCAUGCAGGUGGUUUGUUAAGUCAGAUGUGAAAGACCCGGGGCGUCAACCUCGGAAUUGCAUUUGAAACUGGCAAACUAGAGUACUGUAGAGGGGGGUAGGAAUUUCAGGUGUAGCGGUGAAAUAGCGUAGAGAUCUGAAGGAAUACCGGUGGCGAAGGCGGCCCCCUCGGACAGAUACUGACACUCAGAUGCGAAAGCGUGGGGAGCAAACAGGAUUAGAUACCCUGGUAG